AAGUCGUAACAAGGUUUCCGUAGGUGAACCUGCGGAAGGAUCAUUAACACGUAUCCAAACGUUAAACCCCCCUGUGAACCUUCAGUGUACUCGUACGUCCGUUAGAAAAAGCAGCAAUCCCUGGUAAAUCAUCGCCGAACAGUUUUCGAUUCAGGGACGUCUGCAAGGAGCGUGCAUGUUGUGCGAAGCAAGUGGCCUGGCAUCCCCAAGCAGUUAGUGUCUGAAAGUGUCAUUAACUGUGUAAGGAUGACGCAGGCCCACACGGCCGACGACCGGGUCUGGGCGCAAGCCCCCCUAUAACAAACGCUGCUAAUCGCGGCCGCGAUAAUACGCAGUCGACCAAAAACCGAACAACUGUUAACAAUCUUGGUUCUC
rnacentral:misc_RNA from 1 species